rnacentral:lncRNA from 1 species
ACAGUCCUCUUGCUCUGUGCAGCCUUCAGGCUCUCCUAUAUUCGGUCCCAUCAUCGGAACACCCGCACCUGCUGGCGAAAUAGGACGAGAGACACCGGGUACCUGGUCCGAGGCAGGCGAGCGUGGGCAGGCGGCAGCGGCUGACGAUGAGGUCCAGCGGGAAAGCGCCCAUGCUCCAGCGCAGCCCGGCCAGCCCGGCCGCCAGCUUCUCCAUGGCAUGGGCGCUCCCCGGGGUUCGCCGUCCCGGGACCCCGACGGCCAGUCCCGCGCAGCUCGGGCUGCGCGCCCACCACCUCCUCCUGGGCCGAAGCGGCGCUCCCCGCCUGGCAGCCCAGCUGAGCCUCGGGAGUCACGUGGCCAGCCUCCUUCCACGGGGCAUCAGCCCCCACCCCCAUCCCCGCCCCGCGCCCCGCCCGCCGGGCCCGCACCCCCGGAGCGCCCAGGCAAGCUUCUUAAGAAAGAAGAUAAACUAAAGGAGCCUCAGGAAGUCCCUGAAACUCAUCAGAUUCUUUAGGACCAGCUCCAAAGCCAUGCAACAAAGAAGACUCUGAGACCAGAUCAGCAAGACCUGGAAGAAGCAGAAGCCUACCGAGCUACCUUGAAGAGGCUUAGACCAACUGAGCCACCUUGGAAGGGCACUCUCCCACCUGUUGAGCAGUGCAGUGUAUUCCAGAUUCCCAGCUUCGUGAGCCGGGGUGGGCUUUAGUAAUGCAGCUGUCUUCGAAUCACUUCUGCUCUAUAUUCCUUCCCCACAUUCCCAAUAAAACUCAUGGUUCAGGAAACAUAA